AGAGUUUGAUCAUGGCUCAGGACGAACGCUGGCGGCGUGCCUAACACAUGCAAGUCAGGGAGAAAAAGGUAGCAAUAUCUUGAGUAAACCGGCGAACGGGUGAGUAUAACGUAGACAACCUUCCUCGAGAACGGGGACAACUCCGGGAAACCGGAGCUAAUACCCGAUGACAUCCAGGGACAGCAUUUUUCCUGGAUCAAAGGCCCGAAAGGGCGUCUCGAGACGGGUCUGCGCCCCAUUAGAUAGUUGGCGGGGUAACGGCCCACCAAGUCAACGAUGGGUAGCUGGUCUGAGAGGACGACCAGCCACACUGGAACUGAGACACGGUCCAGACUUCUACGGAAGGCAGCAGUGAGGAAUAUUGCUCAAUGGGCGAAAGCCUGAAGCAGCGACGCCGCGUGAGGGAUGAAAUCCGUUAGGAUGUAAACCUCUUUUAUAGGGGAAGAAAAGCCCGGUUACCGGGUGUGACUGUACCCUAGAAUAGAC
rnacentral:rRNA from 1 species